rnacentral:tRNA from 2 species
GCCCGAGUGGCGGAAUUGGUAGACGCAGGGGAUUCAAAAUCCCCCGCCGCAAGGUUUGCCGGUUCGAGUCCGGCCUCGGGUACCA